UGCGAGCUGCGGAAUGGCGACG
rnacentral:misc_RNA from 1 species